CAGCAGCCGCGGGAAUACGUAGGGUGCGAGCGUUAAUCGGAAUUACUGGGCGUAAAGCGUGCGCAGGCGGUUAUAUAAGACAGAUGUGAAAUCCCCGGGCUCAACCUGGGAACUGCAUUUGAGACUGUAUGGCUAGAGUGUGUCAGAGGGGGGUAGAAUUCCACGUGUAGCAGUGAAAUGCGUAGAUAUGUGGAGGAAUACCGAUGGCGAAGGCAGCCCCCUGGGAUAACACUGACGCUCAUGCACGAAAGCAUGGGGAGCAAACAGGAUUAGAUACCCAGUAGUCCCUGUCUCUUAUACA
rnacentral:rRNA from 1 species